rnacentral:misc_RNA from 1 species
AAAAAUAUACAGUGCAAACCGCAUAUGUAGUGAAAACUUGAAAACUACCGUUGGAUCGAGAAAUGGACAUCCGAGAUUCGUCCACGUCACCAUGAGUUAAAACUUAACUCGCAGAUUCACUCAUGAGUUAACUCAUGGUGACGUGGACGAAUCUCGGAUGUCCAUUUCUCGAUCCAACGGUAAUUUCUAAGUUUCCACUACAUAUGUGGUUUGCACUAUA